GAACUGAGCAAGAGUAAUGAGGAGUUGCUUAAAGGUUAGCAAAGGUAUUCUCUAAUUCCCAGUACCCUUGACUCCUAGCCCAUGACUCACAACAGCCUAACUCACAGCCCCUGACUCAGAGCCCGCCUGACUCACAGCUCCCCUUGACUCACGGCCCCCAACUCACAUACUCCAGACUCACAGCCCCUCUGAUUCCCAGACUGUAUUCUGUCUGUUUAAUGGACCCUCCCUGGGCUCAGUUCUGUGUGGGCUUCAAGUAAAUACCACCUGCUUCUCAGCUGCGGCUGGCGCAAAUAGCAUAUAUGGAAGGGGAUCUGAAUAGCUUUCCUGUCCCCGAGUGGAGGAAAAUUGCAGCUCUCUCCAUGGUGAACGGAGAUGACAGAGAAUCACUGGGAAGUCUCAGGGACUGUCUGCCAUGCGCCCCUGGAAGGUGGAGACCAGUACAUCCUUGCAGUCCACUGGACAGUCAGCCUAAUGCAAUGAGUGAACCCCACAUCUCGGUCUCACCUAAGGCAAUCCACAAAUGGAGAGACUAGGAUGCUUCAUCUUUUCGUUUGUUUGAUGCUCAGUCUUGAUUGCUGACUCUAUGGGAUUAGAAUCACCAUAGAAACAGAAGCAAUUAGCUACGUCUCGUGGAAAGAGUCAUAACAUGACAAGACAGAAGCCCUGGUAAUUAGGAGGUUCCUCAUUAUCACUCAUCUUUUGAACAGUACAGACUGAGAAGCAAUUGCCAGUUGCAAAUUGGUCAAGCUGCCAAUUGUCCCAGCAUUCCUGAAGCCUGUCCUUUGGAUCAGGAAGAGAAGAGAACAAAGCUGCAGAGUUGUGAGGGUCCCUCUCUUGAAUACACUGAACCUGGGGGCUCAAGCCAAAUAAACAAGCCAUCUUAAGAUCUGGAGCCGAAGUUCUGCUUCGAAGUCUGAGCUCUGAGAGUUUUUAGUCACCAGUCUCCAUAGAAGAGCCUAAAUUUCCAAGUUACAUUAUUCAUGUCUGUUUAAUACAUAAAUCACUC
rnacentral:lncRNA from 1 species